UACGGAGGGUGCAAGCGUUGCUCGGAAUUAUUGGGCGUAAAGCGCACGCAGGUGGCUUGGUAAGUCAGUUGUGAAACUCCCGGGCUUAACUUGGGAACUGCAGCUGAUACUGCCAUGCUUGAGUACGGAAGAGGGGAGCGGAAUUCCCAGUGUAGAGGUGAAAUUCGUAGAUAUUAGGAGGAACACCGGUGGCGAAGGCGCCGCUCUGGGCCGAAACUGACGCUGAGGAGCGAAAGCAUGGGUAGCAAACAGG
rnacentral:rRNA from 1 species